AACGAACGCUGGCGGCAUGCCUAACACAUGCAAGUCGAACGAGACCUUCGGGUCUAGUGGCGCACGGGCGCGUAACGCGUGGGAACCUGCCUUUAGGUUCGGAAUAACUCAGAGAAAUUUGAGCUAAUACCGGAUGAUGUCUUCGGACCAAAGAUUUAUCGCCUUUAGAUGGGCCCGCGUUGGAUUAGCUAGUUGGUGGGGUAAAGGCCUACCAAGGCGACGAUCCAUAGCUGGUCUGAGAGGAUGAUCAGCCACACUGGGACUGAGACACGGCCCAGACUCCUACGGGAGGCAGCAGUGGGGAAUAUUGGACAAUGGGCGAAAGCCUGAUCCAGCAAUGCCGCGUGAGUGAUGAAGGCCUUAGGGUUGUAAAGCUCUUUUACCCGAGAUGAUAAUGACAGUAGCGGGAGAAUAAGCUCCGGCUAACUCCGUG
rnacentral:rRNA from 1 species